UGCUCCAAAGAGCAACAUGGCUCGGAAGCGCGCGGCCGGCGGGGGGCCGCGGGGACGCCAACUGCGCAGCCAGAAGUCCAAGGGCAAGAGCAAGGCCCGGCGUGAGGAGGAGGAGGAGGAGGAUGCCUUUGAAGAUGAGAAACCCCCAAAGAAGAGCCUUCUCUCCAGAGUUUCACAGGGAAAGAGGAAGAGAGGCUGCAGUGAUCCUGGGGGUUCAGCAGAUGGUCCAGCAAAAAAGAAAGUGGCCAAGGUGACUGUUAAAUCUGAAAACCUCAAGAUUAUAAAGGAUGAAGCCCUCAGCGAUGGGGAUGACGUUAGGGACUUUCCAAGCGACCUCAAAAAGGCACACCAUCCGAAGAGAGGGGCUACCCUGAAUGAAGACAGCAACGAAGAAGAGGAGGAAAGUGAAGAUGACUGGGAAGAGGUGGAAGAACUUAGUGAGCCUGUGCUAGGUGAUGGGAAAGAAAGCACAGCCUUCUCUCCAUCUCUUCUGCCUGUGAAGCCAGUGGAGAUAGAGAUUGAAACACCAGAGCAGGCGAAGACAAGAGAAAGAAGCGAAAAGAUAAAAAUGGAGUUUGAGACAUAUCUUCGGAGGGCAAUGAAACGUUUCAAUAAAGAGGUCCAUGAGGACACACAUAAGGUUCACCUUCUCUGCUUGCUAGCAAAUGGCUUCUAUCGAAAUAACAUCUGCAGCCAGCCAGAUCUGCAUGCUAUUGGCCUCUCCAUCGUCCCAUCCCGCUUUACCAGAGUGCCGCCUCGAGAUGUGGACACCUACUACCUCUCAAACCUGGUGAAGUGGUUCAUUGGAACAUUUACAGUUAAUGCAGAUCUUUCAGCCAGUGAGCAAGAUAACCUGCAGGCUACAUUGGAAAGGAGAUUUGCUAUUUACUCUGCUCGAGAUGAUGAGGAAUUGGUCCAUAUAUUCUUACUGAUUCUCCGGGCUCUGCAGCUCCUGACCCGGCUGGUAUUGUCUCUACAGCCAAUUCCUCUGAAGUCAGCAGCAGCAAAGGGAAAGAAACCUUCCAAGAAGAGAUUGACUGCGGAUCCUGAAGGCUCUUCGGAAUCUUCCAGCCAAGUUCUAGAGAACCACACCAAACCAAAGACCAGCAAAGGAACCAAACAAGAGGAAACCUUUGCUAAGGGCACCUGCAAGCCAAGUGCCAAAGGGAAGAACAAGGCAGACAGAAAGAAACGGAGCAAGCUCUCCUCCAGCGAGGAAGAUGAGGGCCUGGGAGACAAGCAGGAGGAAGCAACCCAGCGACGUCUGCAUGGCCGGGAGCGGCGGGUGGCCUCUAGGGUGUCUUAUAAAGAGGAGAGUGGGAGUGAUGAGGCUGGCAGUGGCUCUGAUUUUGAGCUCUCCAAUGGAGAAGCCUCUGAUCCCUCUAAUGAGGAUUCUGAGCCUUGUCCUCCAAAGCAGAGGAAGGUCCCCGCUCCUCAGGGGACAAAGGCUGGGUCCAAGAGUGUCUCCAAGACCCAACGUGGGAGCCAUCAUAAGGACCUAAGCUUGCCAGUGGCGUCCUCAGGUUCUUCAAAUAGUAAAAGAGGCAAAAUGUCUAGCGAUGGUGAGAAGGCAGAAAAAAGGAGCCCACCUGGUGUAGACCAGUGGCUAGAGGUGUUCUGUGAACAGGAGGAAAAGUGGAUAUGUGUGGACUGUGUGCACGGUGUGGUGGGCCAGCCUCUGACCUGUUACAGGUAUGCCACCAAGCCCAUGACCUAUGUGGUGGGCAUUGACAGUGAUGGCUGGGUUCGAGAUGUCACACAGAGGUACGACCCAGCCUGGAUGACAGUGACCCGCAAGUGCCGGGUUGAUGCUGAGUGGUGGGCUGAGACCUUGAGACCAUACCAGAGCCCGUUUUUGGACAGGGAGAAGAAAGAAGACAUGGAGUUUCAGGCAAAACACAUGGACCAGCCUUUGCCCACUGCCAUUGGCUUAUAUAAGAACCACCCGCUGUAUGCCCUGAAACGGCAUCUCCUGAAAUAUGAGGCCAUCUAUCCUGAGACAGCUGCCAUCCUUGGGUAUUGUCGUGGAGAAGCAGUCUACUCAAGGGAUUGUGUGCACACUCUACACUCCAGGGACACGUGGCUGAAGAAAGCAAGAGUGGUGAGGCUUGGAGAAGUGCCCUACAAGAUGGUGAAAGGCUAUUCCAACCGUGCCCGGAAAGCCCGACUUGCUGAGCCCCAGCUGCGGGAUGAAAAUGAUCUGGGCCUGUUUGGCUACUGGCAGACAGAGGAGUAUCAGCCCCCCGUGGCCGUGGAUGGGAAGGUGCCCCGGAACGAGUUUGGGAAUGUGUACCUCUUCCUGCCCAGCAUGAUGCCUGUUGGCUGUGUCCAGCUGAACCUGCCUCAUCUACACCGCGUGGCCCGCAAGCUGGACAUUGACUGUGUCCAGGCCAUCACUGGCUUUGAUUUCCAUGGCGGCUACUCCCAUCCUGUGACUGAUGGAUACAUCGUCUGUGAGGAAUUCAAAGACGUGCUCCUGACUGCGUGGGAAAAUGAACAGGCGAUCAUUGAAAAGAAGGAGAAGGAGAAAAGGGAGAAACGGGCUCUAGGGAACUGGAAGCUGCUGACCAAAGGUCUUCUCAUCAGGGAGAGGCUGAAGCGUCGCUAUGGGCCCAAGGUCCAUCCACACUGAGUCUGUCUGAAUCUGGAGCAUUCCAGACAGAGAGUGAAUUGGGAUCACAGACGUCAGAGAUCCAAAGAAGGGCCCUCUGAGACAGACACAUGGAAACUGAGGCUCCAGAAAGGAACUGGUCUGCCCAAGGUCAUAAAGUUUCCACCCCCUGGCAACUCACCUGGACUCCUCAGUUUCUACCCACUGGUACAUCUCCACAUGCCUCCGCAGUUUCACAGCCGGAAGAUGGACCCCAUAGUUUGGAUCAGACAAAAGCUUCACACAGAAUCAAACCAAAAAAAUAAAGGAUAAGAUUCAUGUCAGCCCAGAAAGACUGGCUCAGGGGAAACUGGACUGGAAGUGGAAGAACUAGAGGAGGGGGUGAGGGUGGAGAGCCCUAUGCUGCUUCACAGGGGGAUCAAGGAUGCUCCCCGUCCCAGGUUCUUCACAUGUACCACCUGUGACUCUGACCCUCACAGCAUGGACCUGGGCUGCACGGUCCAAUGGUAUGGUACCAACAGCAUACUGGGUAUUCAAAUAACAGGAAAGCGCUGGUGCCCAACAUAGUUUUGUGACCUUGCAGUGGACAUACAUGGUCAUCACAAUCAUGAGAGCACAUCCCUGAGUGCCAGCCACUGUACCAAGACGUUAGUUACCUAAUCUUACCAAAUCCUCAAGGCUGGCCACAAGCUUGUUAUCAUUACUGUUCCUAUUUUAUACACAGAGACACUGAGACUCAGGAUUGACGGGUCUACACAGCUGCUGAGCAGUGGAGGUGGGAAUCACACCCAUGUGUGACCAUCUCCAAGGCCUAUGUUUCCAAAUCCUCAGCCAGACAACGCCCAGGACGAGCCCCGAGCCACUGGCAGGUCAGCAUCCCUGCCAAGCCUACCUUGGAUGUCCGCAGGGAACCAAUGAUGUGCACCAGCCUUCCUUCAUUCUCCGGAGCCACAGUGUGGAUGCUGUCAGGGGACACCACAAGCGAGAGCCCCUCGGCCAGCGAGGUUGCCGUCUUCAAUGCGCGGCCCUGGAAGCAAAGGGAGUGGGGGUUUCAACAACUUGGGUGGCUCAGCCUGACUGUGCUUGUUGCAAAGUAUCAGGGUAGGAUGGGGACUCGGGGAGCACUGAGACCCAUCUACCCACUGUACAGCUGGAAAACUGAGGUCUAGCAAGUGGCGAGUGGACUAGAACCCAGAUUCCUGCUUUCCCAGGCAGACUUCUUCCUACUCCCACACUGGUUCCCACCAGCCCCUGCCAAUCUUAGUACCACCUCAAUGGUGGGAACAGCUGAUGUUUCUACCUGCCCUGUACCUUUCUCCCCAUUUUUA